AAUGGACAUCUAAGACAUACAAUCUCUGAAAAUGAAUUGCUGGAAGCACCCUCUGUACAUGUAAGGACCACCAAUUGUGAGUAAAGCACAGAGUAAAUUGUGUAGUGUUAACACAGUGUCAAGAUAAUUGAAAAAGACAGUGAAUUCUUGUGAGUACAGAAAAUCCGCUUUGUGUUAAUCAUCCGUGAAAGCUACAGAGUUAUAUUUUCUUGAGACAUUCUCGUCAAGUAUCAUCAAGUAUUUUAUUUUGAGCAUUGCUAUGAGUACUUUGUGAAUUGAAAGUUUGUAUUGUCCUCUUUAGAGAUACUUAAUUUUCUGAGUGAGUCACCGAUACUACUGCCGAUUAUUUAUUUUGCCAUAGUAUUGAGUGGGUUGAGGACUCUGUGGUGAAAUGGACAUCUAAGACAUACAAUCUCUGAAAAUGAAUUGCUGGAAGCACCCUCUGUACAUGUAAGGACCACCAAUUGUGAGUAAAGCACAGAGUAAAUUGUGUAGUGUUAACACAGUGUCAAGAUAAUUGAAAAAGACAGUGAAUUCUUGUGAGUACAGAAAAUCCGCUUUGUGUUAAUCAUCCGUGAAAGCUACAGAGUUAUAUUUUCUUGAGACAUUCUCGUCAAGUAUCAUCAAGUAUUUUAUUUUGAGCAUUGUUAUGAGUACUUUGUGAAUUGAAAGUUUGUAUUGUCCUCUUUAGAGAUACUUAAUUUUCUGAGUGAGUCACCGAUACUACUGCCGAUUAUUUAUUUUGCCAUAGUAUUGAGUGGGUUGAGGACUCUGUGGUGAAAUGGACAUCUAAGACAUACAAUCUCUGAAAAUGAAUUGCUGGAAGCACCCUCUGUACAUGUAAGGACCACCAAUUGUGAGUAAAGCACAGAGUAAAUUGUGUAGUGUUAACACAGUGUCAAGAUAAUUGAAAAAGACAGUGAAUUCUUGUGAGUACAGAAAAUCCGCUUUGUGUUAAUCAUCCGUGAAAGCUACAGAGUUAUAUUUUCUUGAGACAUUCUCGUCAAGUAUCAUCAAGUAUUUUAUUUUGAGCAUUGCUAUGAGUACUUUGUGAAUUGAAAGUUUGUAUUGUCCUCUUUAGAGAUACUUAAUUUUCUGAGUGAGUCACCGAUACUACUGUCGAUUAUUUAUUUUGCCAUAGUAUUGAGUGGGUUGAGGACUCUGUGGUGAAAUGGACAUCUAAGACAUACAAUCUCUGAAAAUGAAUUGCUGGAAGCACCCUCUGUACAUGUAAGGACCACCAAUUGUGAGUAAAGCACAGAGUAAAUUGUGUAGUGUUAACACAGUGUCAAGAUAAUUGAAAAAGACAGUGAAUUCUUGUGAGUACAGAAAAUCCGCUUUGUGUUAAUCAUCCGUGAAAGCUACAGAGUUAUAUUUUCUUGAGACAUUCUCGUCAAGUAUCAUCAAGUAUUUUAUUUUGAGAAUUGCUAUGAGUACUUUGUGAAUUGAAAGUUUGUAUUGUCCUCUUUAGAGAUACUUAAUUUUCUGAGUGAGUCACCGAUACUACUGCCGAUUAUUUAUUUUGGUGAGUAUCCAUUUAAGAAGUAUCCGAGGCAUUUAUGUGUCAAUGUUUACCCCCUUUGCUCUGGAAGGGUGUUAAUUGAAUUUAUCUUUGGUGGGGUUGUUUUGUAGAAGAUUUGUUGUGACAUCAGCGCACGAUGAUCACAGUAGUUGUGAAUAAGUUACAACUUAUGUGUGAGUUCCGACAAUAUCUUUGUCAGACAUGUCCGUGAACCCCAACAAUACCUUGAACUUUUCAUUCACCUCGCCCAAGGUCUUGAACCUCUCAUUAAGAGAGGAAAUCACAGUAUCCACUACCACAUUGAAAAAUGUAGUCUCCAUCCUCUUGAGUACAUCGCUGACAGGUUCGUCUGCACACUCAUAGCUAAAGUGACAUUUUUUAGUUCUUAGUCUUCUGUUUCAGCACCGUGUCUAUGCUCAUCGCUUCACAGAUUUCUUUAGCAAUAGUUAGUGCAUCAGCAAAACCUGUAUUUCUGUAGCUGACAAUAUCAUCUCUGGUCUUUUUGAGCAGAUCUACAGCCACGCCGAGCUGUAUCGUAGUCGACUGCAUUAGUUUGCUCACGUGCUGAAUUUUUCUGAGUAUAUCAUACCACACAACUGAACAAAUGACAAAACGGUAUGACCCUACUUCCUCUGCCAACGAUUAAGCCUCAACUUUGACGACAGGGUCAGUUGCAGAUUCUCUGUGCUCCAAAAGCGCUUCUUUGAGUUGCGGAGGUUGAUAUCUAAUUGCCUCCACACUUUUUACUCGGCUUUCCCAUCUGACGUCUGACCACGAUUUCAGAGUAAUAUUAACAUGUUUUAAAAGAACUUGCCACCUCUGAGGAGAGGCUGAAAACAAUGUGAAUACUUUCGUUAAAUAUCCAAAGUAACAAGUUGCAUUUAGGGAGCUCUUGGCAGCGUCACCUAAUAUAAAAUUCAAAUUAUGGGCACCACAAGGGACAAAUAAGGGCCGAGAAUUCUGUUGAAGAAGCCUGGCUUGAACUCCUUUGAUGUUUCCUCUCAUAUUUGCUUCAUUGUCGUAGGAUUGACCUCGAUAAUCCUCAAAAGAAAUGUUCAUUUGUUUGUCUUCCGAGUAGAAUUCAUGACAAAUUUAGCCCUGUAGAC
rnacentral:lncRNA from 1 species